UUCACAUUGCUUCCAAAGUUUGGUUGACAAAAAAUGGUGCAUAAACAUAGGGGUUAGAAGUAUGAACAAAAUGUUUGGUUAUCUUUGCUAGUUGAUCCGCUACCAUAUUUUGCUCUUUGUAUGUAUGCUGGACAGGCGGAUUAUUCAGCUGAUUGAGAAGGUACCUGCAGUCAUUUAAUAUAUUGGCAAGUGGAAGGUUGUCAGUUUGCAACAAUGUAAUAAUUU
rnacentral:lncRNA from 1 species